AUCAAACUCCGUGAUAGCUGGUUCUCCCCGAAAUGCAUUUAGGUGCAGCGUCACGUGUUUCUUACCGGAGGUAGAGCUACUGGAUAGCUGAUGGGCCUCACCAGGUUACUGACGUUAGCCAAACUCCGAAUGCCGGUAAGUGAGAGCGUGGCAGUGAGACUGCGGGGGAUAAGCUCCGUAGUCGAGAGGGAAACAGCCCAGACCACCAUCUAAGGUCCCUAAGCGUGUGCUAAGUGGGAAAGGAUGUGGAGUUGCAUUGACAACCAGGAGGUUGGCUUAGAAGCAGCCACCCUUUAAAGAGUGCGUAAUAGCUCACUGGUCAAGUGAUUCCGCGCCGACAAUGUAGCGGGGCUCAAGCACACCACCGAAGCUGUGGCAUUGACACACUGCUCGGCCAGUUUUCCUGCGGGGUUCUGGUCCAGGCGUGUUGAUGGGUAGGGGAGCGUCGUGUGGCCAGGGAAGCGGCGGAGUGAUCCAGCCGUGGAGGCCACACGAGUGAGAAUGCAGGCAUGAGUAGCGAAUGACGGGCGAGAAACCCGUCCGCCGAAUAACCAAGGGUUCCAGGGUCAAGCUAAUCUGCCCUGGGUAAGUCGGGACCUAAGGCGAGGCCGACAGGCGUAGUCGAUGGACAUCCGGUUGAUAUUCCGGAACCGGCGAAGAACCGCCCAUGACGAACCUAGUGAUGCUAAACGCCCAAAGCUGUUGUCCAAGACCUUCGGGUUGAGGGUUUCAGUGGAGCGCGUGACCCGAUCUAGUAGUAGUCAAGCGAUGGAGAGACGCAGGAAGGUAGCCUCCGCGUGGCGAUGGUAGUCCACGUCCAAGGGUGUAGGGCGAGCUGUAGGCAAAUCCGCAGCUCACAUAGCCUGAGACCUGAUAGUGACCGCGUAUGCGGGAAGCAGGGUGAUCCUAUGCUGCCAAGAAAAUCUUCUAGCGAGGUUCGAGCCGCCCGUACCCCAAACCGACUCAGGUGGUUAGGUAGAGAAUACCAAGGCGAUCGAGUGAAUCGUGGUUAAGGAAUUCGGCAAAAUACCCCCGUAACUUCGGGAGAAGGGGGGCCCAGAGGGUGAAGGCACUUGCUGCCUAGCCUGAACGGCCGCAGAGACCAGGGAGAAGCGACUGUUUACUAAAAACACAGGUCCGUGCGAAGUCGCAAGACGAUGUAUACGGACUGACGCCUGCCCGGUGCUGGAAGGUUAAGAGGACCGGUUAGUUCUUCGGAGCGAAGCUGAGAAUUUAAGCCCCAGUAAACGGCGGUGGUAACUAUAACCAUCCUAAGGUAGCGAAAUUCCUUGUCGGGUAAGUUCCGACCUGCACGAAUGGCGUAACGACUUCUCCACUGUCUCAACCACGAACUCGGCGAAAUUGCACUACGAGUAAAGAUGCUCGUUACGCGCAGCAGGACGGAAAGACCCCGGGACCUUUACUACAGCUUGGUAUUGGUGUUCGGUACGGCU
rnacentral:rRNA from 1 species